GAACCGGGAAAAGAACCAACAGGGAUUGCCCUAGUAACGGCGAGUGAAGCGGCAACAGCUCAAAUUUGAAAUCUGGCUCCUUUGGGGUCCGAGUUGUAAUUUGCAGAGGGAGCUUUUGGCGUCGGUCGUGGUCUAAGUUCCUUGGAACAGGACGUCACAGAGGGUGAGAAUCCCGUACGUGGCCGCCGGCCUUCGCCUUGUAAAGCCCCUUCGACGAGUCGAGUUGUUUGGGAAUGCAGCUCUAAAUGGGAGGUAAAUUUCUUCUAAAGCUAAAUACCCGCCAGAGACCGAUAGCGCACAAGUAGAGUGAUCGAAAGAUGAAAAGCACUUUGGAAAGAGAGUGAAAAAGCACGUGAAAUUGUUGAAAGGGAAGCGCUUGCGGCCAGACGUGCCCGCGGUUGAUCAUCCAGGCUCCAGCCUGGUGCACUCCUCCGCGGGCAGGCCAGCAUCAGUUCGGGCGGUCGGAUAAAGGCCUCUAUCACGUACCACCCCUCGGGGUGGCCUUAUAGGGGAGGCGCAACACGGCCAGCCCGGACUGAGGUUCCGCGCAUCUGCUAGGAUGCUGGCGUAAUGGCAGCAAGCGGCCCGUCUUGAAACACGGACCAAGGAGUCUAACAUCUAUGCGAGUGUUUGGGUGUCAAGCCCGAGCGCGCAAUGAAAGUGAACGGAGGUGGGAACCCUUACCGGUGCACCAUCGACCGAUCCUGAUGUCUUCGGAUGGAUUUGAGUAAGAGCAUAGCUGUUGGGACCCGAAAGAUGGUGAACUAUGCCUGAAUAGGGUGAAGCCAGAGGAAACUCUGGUGGAGGCUCGCAGCGGUUCUGACGUGCAAAUCGAUCGUCAAAUUUGGGCAUAGGGGCGAAAGACUAAUCG
rnacentral:rRNA from 1 species